rnacentral:rRNA from 1 species
UAAGGAUAUCAAUAAGCGGAGGAAAAGAAACCAACAGGGAUUGCCCUAGUAACGGCGAGUGAAGCGGCAACAGCUCAAAUUUGAAAUCUGGCGCCAGCGCGAGUUGUAAUUUGUAGAGGAUGCUUCAGGGCAGCGGCCGGUCUAAGUUCCUUGGAACAGGACGUCCUAGAGGGUGAGAAUCCCGUAUGCGACCGGUUGGCACCCGUCACGUAGCUCCUUCGACGAGUCGAGUUGUUUGGGAAUGCAGCUCUAAAUGGGAGGUAAAUUUCUUCUAAAGCUAAAUACCGGCCAGAGACCGAUAGCGCACAAGUAGAGUGAUCGAAAGAUGAAAAGCACUUUGGAAAGAGAGUUAAAAAGCACGUGAAAUUGUUGAAAGGGAAGCGCAUGCAACCAGACUUGUCGGCGGUGUUCCGCCGGUCUUCUGACCGGUCUACUCGCCGCCGGCAGGCCAGCAUCAUCUGGGCGCGCCGGACAAAGGCGUGGGGAAUGUGGCUCCUCGGAGUGUUAUAGCCCCGCGCACAAUACGGCGCCGCUCGGGUGAGGUCCGCGCUUCGGCUAGGAUGCUGGCGUAAUGGUUGUUUGCGGCCCGUCUUGAAACACGGACCAAGGAGUCUAACAUCUAUGCGAGUGUUCGGGUGUCAAACCCCUACGCGUAAUGAAAGUGAACGGAGGUGGGAAGCGCAAGCUGCACCAUCGACCGAUCCUGAUGUCUUCGGAUGGAUUUGAGUAAGAGCAUAGCUGUUGGGACCCGAAAGAUGGUGAACUAUGCCUGAAUAGGGUGAAGCCAGAGGAAACUCUGGUGGAGGCUCGCAGCGGUUCUGACGUGCAAAUCGAUCGUCAAAUUUGGGUAUGGGGGCGAAAGACUAAUCGAACCAUCUAGUAGCUGGUUCCUGCGA